rnacentral:tRNA from 1 species
GGUGGGGUGCGAGAGUGGUUGAAUCGGGCAGUUUUGAAAACUGCUAUACCAGCAAUGGUAUCGUGAGUUCGAAUCUCACCCCCACCG